CUAACAUUCAGAAAUACAAACAUUAUAAAAAAUAUACUCAUUCUUGUCCUGGCUGGUUUCGCUCAGUGGAUAAGCAUUGACCUGUGGACUGAAGGGUCCCAGGUUUGACUCCGCCCAGGGGCACGUGCCCAGGUUGUAGGCUCGAUCCCCAGUGGGGGGUGGCAUGCAGGAGGCAGCUGAUCAAUGACUCUCUUAUCAUUGAUGUUUCCAUCUCUCCUUCUC